GUUGAAACACCAGUUCCCGUACGAUCAUCGAAGUUAAGCAACGUCGAGCCUGAUCAUACCUAGAUGGGUGACCGCUUGGGAAUACCAGGUACAGUA